rnacentral:rRNA from 1 species
AACGAACGCUGGCGGCGUGCUUAACACAUGCAAGUCGAACGCGAAAGGGAUCUUCGGAUCCCCGGUAGAGUGGCGCACGGGUGAGUAACGCGUAAAUAAUCUACCCUGGUGUCUGGAAUAAUCAGCCGAAAGGCUGACUAAUACGGGAUACAUGCUUGCCUGUUGGGGCAAACAGGAAAGGUGGCCUCUAUUUAUAAGCUAUCGCACUGGGAUGAGUUUGCGUACCAUUAGCUAGUUGGUGGGGUAAUGGCCUACCAAGGCGACGAUGGUUAGCGGGUCUGAGAGGAUGAUCCGCCACACUGGAACUGGAACACGGGCCAGACUCCUACGGGAGGCAGCAGUGAGGAAUAUUGCGCAAUGGGGGCAACCCUGACGCAGCGACGCCGCGUGAGUGAGGAAGGCCUUCGGGUCGUAAAGCUCUGUCAGCAGGGAAGAAGUGCAUAGUGGCUAAUAUCCAUUGUGUUUGACGGUACCUGCAAAGGAAGCACCGGCUAACUCCGUGCCAGCAGCCGCCGUAACAC